GCACACUGACCCAGAAUCUUACUUUCUGGAACCUUGUGACUCCACAUUAAUUGGAGUGCUGAAGUUUAAAAACACAAACACAGCUUUGAGAUGGAUCCCAAGCCACGGUGGACAGCAAAAAAAGGACCAAUAAAGAGACUACUUUUCCUCCUCUGCCACGACCACAACCAGUGACUGCAACAUCCCAUUGUUGGACAGAUUAUCCUACCACCGUCACACGGCCUAGCAAUGUGUCCCUGGGAAAUGAUGAUGCCAUACCCCUAGGUGUCAACUCUGGUCUGGUGGAGGAGAACCCAUUGGGGGCCCAGAACAAUAGCUGGCAGACAGGCA